rnacentral:rRNA from 1 species
GACGAACGCUGGCGGCGUGCUUAACACAUGCAAGUCGAACGGAAAGGCCCUGCUUUUGUGGGGUGCUCGAGUGGCGAACGGGUGAGUAACACGUGAGUAACCUGCCCUUGACUUUGGGAUAACUUCAGGAAACUGGGGCUAAUACCGGAUAGGAGCUCCUGCUGCAUGGUGGGGGUUGGAAAGUUUCGGCGGUUGGGGAUGGACUCGCGGCUUAUCAGCUUGUUGGUGGGGUAGUGGCUUACCAAGGCUUUGACGGGUAGCCGGCCUGAGGGGGUGACCGGCUACAUUGGGACUGGGAUACGGCCCGAACUCCUACGGGAGGCAGCAGUGGGGAAUAUUGCACAAUGGGCGGAAGCCUGAUGCAGCAACGCCGCGUGCGGGAUGACGGCCUGCGAGUUGUAAACCGCUUUCGCCUGUGACGAAGCGUGAGUGACGGUAAUGGGUAAAGAAGCACCGGCUAACUACGUG